UACGUAGGUGGCGAGCGUUGUCCGGAUUUACUGGGCGUAAAGAGCGCGCAGGCGGUCGUUCAAGUCGCGUGUGAAAGCCCCCGGCUCAACUGGGGAGGGUCACGCGAUACUGAUCGACUCGAAGGCAGGAGAGGGAAGUGGAAUUCCCGGUGUAGUGGUGAAAUGCGUAGAUAUCGGGAGGAACACCGAUGGCGAAGGCAGCUCGCUGGGACGGUACUGACGCUGAGGCGCGAAAGCGUGGGGAGCGAACAGG
rnacentral:rRNA from 1 species